UCCUGACACAGGGAGGUAGUGACAAGAAAUAACAAUACAGGGCUCUCUGAGUCUUGUAAUUGGAAUGAGUACAAUUUACAUCUCUUCACGAGGAUCAAUUGGAGGGCAAGUCUGGUGCCAGCAGCCGCGGUAAUUCCAGCUCCAAUAGCGUGUAUUAAAGUUGUUGCAGUUAAAACGCUCGUAGUCGGAUUUCGGGGCGGGGCCGCCGGUCUGCCGAUAGGUAUGCACUGGCGGGCGCGUCCUUUUUCCCGGAGACGGCUGCUACUCUUAACUGAGCGGUGGUCGGAGACGGGAUGUUUACUUUGAAAAAAUCAGAGUGUUUCAAGCAGGCAGUCGCUCUUGCAUGGAUUAGCAUGGGAUAAUGAAAUAGGACUCUGGUGCUAUUUUGUUGGUUUCGAGCACCGGAGUAAUGAUUAACAGGGACA
rnacentral:rRNA from 1 species